rnacentral:tRNA from 1 species
GUGCUGAUAGUUCAAUGGCAGAAUACCCGGAUGUGAACCGGAUGAUCAGGGUUCGAUCCCCGUCAGCACCCA